rnacentral:rRNA from 1 species
GACGAACGCUGCGGCGUGCUAAGAAAUGCAAGUCGAACGGGAGCUUUCGGGCUCUAGUGGCGAACGGUCGCGUAACACGUAAGCAACCUGCCCUGAAGUGGGGGACAACAGCUUGAAAGAGCUGCUAAUACCGCAUGUGGACGUUGGUCGGCAUCGAUCAUCGUCUAAAGCUUAAUGCGCUUCAGGAUGGGCUUGCGGCCUAUCAGCUUGUUGGUGGGGUAACGGCCUACCAAGGCUUUGACGGGUAGCUGGUCUGAGAGGACGAUCAGCCGGAUUGGGACUGAGAUACGGCCCAGGCUCCUACGGGGGGCAGCAAUUAGGAAUCUUGCACAAUGGGGGAAACCCUGAUGCAGCGACGCCGCGUGCGGGAUGACGGCAUUCGUGUUGUAAACCGCUUUUAUCGGGGAAGAAGAAUGUGACGGUACCCGGUGAAUAAGCCCCGGCUAACUACGUGCCAGCAGCCGCGGUAAUACGUAGGGGGCGAGCGUUGUCCGAAGUUACUGGGCGUAAAGCGCGCGUAGGCUGUCUCUUAAGUUUGGGGUGAAAGGUUCACGGCUCAACCGGAACAGUGCCUUGAAUACUGGGA